rnacentral:lncRNA from 1 species
CAAUUCUCUUGUGUGUGUGACCCAUUAGGUUCCCGACCACGAUACCUAACGACGUGAAAUAUUAUUUUGAUCUAAUCAAAAUUGAUAAAUUAAAACACCCUUUUAAUUUAUCGCCAAUUCACAUUCGCCGUCCCUGAUUGACAUCUAGCAAUGUGUCAGGGCAAUACAUGUGACGGAAAAUGUCACGUGGUAUGACAAAACCAAAUUCGUUCGUUUACCGUGAACUUAUAAUCCCUUCGUCAAUAUGAUCCGAUCAAUUACGAGAUAUGGAGUUGUGUCAAUCUCGAUCAUCGAUCAUAUCUUUC